AUUGAACGCUGGCGGCAGGCCUAACACAUGCAAGUCGAACGGUAACAGGAAUCAGCUUGCUGAUUCGCUGACGAGUGGCGGACGGGUGAGUAAUGUCUGGGAAACUGCCUGAUGGAGGGGGAUAACUACUGGAAACGGUAGCUAAUACCGCAUAACGUCGCAAGACCAAAGAGGGGGACCUUCGGGCCUCUUGCCAUCGGAUGUGCCCAGAUGGGAUUAGCUAGUAGGUGGGGUAAUGGCUCACCUAGGCGACGAUCCCUAGCUGGUCUGAGAGGAUGAACAGCAACACUGGAACUGAGACACGGUCCAGACUCCUACGGGAGGCAGCAGUGGGGAAUAUUGCACAAUGGGCGCAAGCCUAAUGCAGCCAUGCCGCGUGUAUGAAGAAGGCCUUCGGGUUGUAAAGUACUUUCAGCGAGGAGGAAGGUGUUGUGGUUAAUAACCACAGCAAUUGACGUUACUCGCAGAAGAAGCACCGGCUAACUCCGCGCCAGCCGCCGCCGUAA
rnacentral:rRNA from 1 species